rnacentral:rRNA from 1 species
AUUUUUAUAUAAUUAUAGGUUAAAUUUUAAUUAUUUAAAAUGUAUAGUUAUAAUUUUAAAUUUUGUUAAUCGAAUUAGAUUAGUACCUAAUUAGUCAAAAGUUAAAAAAGCAGAAGUAAAGUAAAAUUUAAACUGAAAGAAUAUUGGCAGAUUUUCUAAAUUAUCUUUGGAGGUUGAGUAAUAAUUGAGAACCCUCAUUAACUACUUUUUUAGUUGUCUCAUGUAUGAUCGUUUAUUAUAUGCUUAAGGGAUAUAAUUAAAAAUUUUUAUUUAAAAAAAUAGAUAUAUAUUUGGUUUAUAUAAAAGUAAUAUUUGACCUACAGUAAUUUGUAAUUGUGGAUCUAUUUUUUAGUAAAGUAGUGAAAAUGUAAAAGACAGUAAAAAAAUUUUUAUGAUUUUUUGAAGAUUAUUUAGAAG